rnacentral:rRNA from 1 species
UUCCUCCUGGUUUAGGAGGUAAGGCCUGCUCACUGAAUAUUUAAAGAGCCGCAGUAUCCUAACUGUGCUAAGGUAGCAUAAUCAUUUGUCUUUUAAUUGGAGACUGGUAUGAAUGGCUAAACGAGAAAUUAACUUUUUUUGUUAUAUAAAUUGAACUUAAUUUUUCAGUGAAAAAGCUGAAAUUUUUCAGAAAGACGAGAAGACCCUAUAGAGUUUUAUGUCUCUAAAUAUAUUAUCUAAUUUGAUUUUUAUAGAUUUCAUAUUAAAGGACAUUUUGUUGGGGCGACAUUAAGAUAUAAAAAACUCUUUAUUUUCAAAAUUUUUAUAAAAAGUUUGCUUGAUCCUCUAAAAGAGAUCAAAAGAAAAAAUUACCUUAGGGAUAACAGCGUAAUCUUUUUUGAGAGUUCUAAUCGACAAAAAGGUUUGCGACCUCGAUGUUGGACUAAAAUUUAGGCAGGGUGCAGCAGUUCUGCUUUUAGGUCUGUUCGACCUAUAAUAUUUUACGUGAUCUGAGGGUUUCAGACCG